GCGCAUAUGGCCGAGUGGUUUAAGGCGAUGGUUUUAAGAUUUGUUUUAAACACCAUUAUCGAGAGAUGCCUGGGUUCGAACCCCAGUGUGCGCA
rnacentral:tRNA from 1 species